AAGCGUCGGCCAUCUACUCCUCCCAGAUGCGAUGCCGACGUUGAAUUCGGUGCACCUCCUCCCGCACCGCAUUCGAAAAUCAAGCCCGCUGCCACCUCCUCCCGGCAGCGGGCUUUUUUC
rfam:Mesorhizobium sp. LSHC420B00 scaffold0001, whole genome shotgun sequence.